CAUAGCUCAACUACCAUUAAGGUUUUCUCUUUAUCUUUGGUGUUUGGCAGUUUAAAUGUAAUGUGCCUGAGUGUGGUGUUCUCUGGAGCUCUUUGGCUUAGUGUUAAUUGAAGUUCUUGGUCAAUGGAGUAGUGUCUGUCAUCAGGUCUUCUAAUUCCUGGCAAUUAUCCUUGAAGUUCAAGUUAGCCAGCAGUUACUGAGUUUGGGAAACAUGGAGAAGAAUACCAAUUUUUAACUUACUAGCAACUGUCUCUUUCAGUUGGGUUAACCCUUAAAUAACAUGAAACAAGAGUUAAAGAGACAGACCCUUCCUCAAGGAGACAUACAUUAAAUCAACAAGUGGAAAGUCACGGACGGUUUUAUCACCUCGAAGGAUGGGCAUUUCUGGUUCCACCUACUGUUCCAGCAUCAUGCUGAGCCAACUUGUGGGCUGAGAUGAGCACUCAGAUGAGAACUCCAAGCAGACUUCUCAACACAUGCCUGUCAAGUUUGCAACCAGUCAGAUAUGGAAUUGUGUUUUCCCAGACAGAAGUGGAAAGUUACUCCUACCUCAUAGAAUUGUGUACUCAAGGCUCCCAGAGGCAUCCCAACAAUCCACAAGAUCUACUCACCCAUCAGUUGGAAAGACUGUAGUUAUAGGCUGAGGACCACUCAACAAUCACUAUUACUUAUCGCAGGCUAUCUGAGGGGGGGCACAUUGCGCUUCACAAGAUGCCAUCUGGUCUAUUUCUGGUACCGGCUCACCAGAGAGCAGAGGCUAGGUUUUGAGGCAGCAUACAGAACAGGAUGCAAAUGUCAAGUUCAGCCCUGCCUCCACUGCUGGCAUUCCUGCCCUCAACCUGACUUUGGAGAGUGUGUGUGGAAACAAAAAGACUGUAACUACAAGGUAUGGGAAGGAAACCAUUCCUUGUUCUCCAUGUGUGUGCCCUCCAUGAAUGGGUACUGUGAAUGGACCCGCAUCCAGAUGAACUAUCCGUACCAAACCUCGGCUCCAGUGACCUCUGUUCACUAGGCCCGAAAUCAUAUAAUAGAGUUUAAUAUUCUGUCUCCUGGUCUGGCUGCUGUUAACAGAACUGAGUUAGUUUUGUACACCUCCACUAAAUUGUACACUUAAGUUUUGUUUACUUUCUGUAAGUAGUGUACGCAUCAAUAAAACUUACAAAAACGAAUCCCAAGUUGAUAAACCACCCUGAUGACAAAUUCCCUUUAUCUUCUCUGUUCAUCAAUUAUCUUUUAUUUCUUCUUCAUCCAGCAACCUCAUGCCAGACUCUAAUCCUUCUUAUUCCACAAUUCCUGACAUUUCCUCAUCCUCUCAAAGCAAGAGCCCUGGGUCCAAACAAAGGGACAGAUCCAGAUCCAAUCUGACCAGGGUCACACUCCAUCUGACACACCCUUAACCUUCCCCAGAUGAUUUGCAGAACCAUAAAUCACAGGAGAAAGGAUAUUCCUUGUUCCCACAGAAUUAAGACUCACUUGCAAAUAUAAACAUUGUUCCUUGUCAUAUUAAAAUUCUGAAAAUAAAAGACUUUUAAACUUUUAUAAGAACACAAAAGGCAAUAUUUUUAGGACUUCAAAUCACAAAAGUUCCAAAAUAUAUGAAGGAAAAUGUUGAUAAAUUCCACUACUCUAAAAUAAAAUAUCUUUCCCCAAAUAAACCAAAGUACCAUAAACACUAUA